rnacentral:lncRNA from 1 species
GGGAUGAGUCAAUCCAGUUUCAGAACUGACAAUUUUUGCAUAAAUCGAUUAUAAAUUAUUUAUAAAAUUAAAAAUUAAAAAUAUUUCAAAACUAAAGCUAAAUCUAUGUUGAAGUUAUACUUAAUUAAAAAUUAAGUUAAACUAAUUCGAUCUAGAAUUAUGAAUUAUAGAUCUAAUAUCAUUCACAUAAAAUAUGGGGU